GCAUAUCAAUAAGCGGAGGAAAAGAAACCAACAGGGAUUGCCCCAGUAACGGCGAGUGAAGCGGCAAGAGCUCAAAUUUGAAAGCUGGCUCCUUCGGGGUCCGCAUUGUAAUUUGCAGAGGAUGCUUCGGGAGCGGUCCCCAUCUAAGUGCCCUGGAACGGGACGUCAUAGAGGGUGAGAAUCCCGUAUGGGAUGGGGUGUCCGCGCCCGUGUGAAGCUCCUUCGACGAGUCGAGUUGUUUGGGAAUGCAGCUCUAAAUGGGUGGUAAAUUUCAUCUAAAGCUAAAUAUUGGCCGGAGACCGAUAGCGCACAAGUAGAGUGAUCGAAAGAUGAAAAGCACUUUGAAAAGAGAGUUAAAAAGCACGUGAAAUUGUUGAAAGGGAAGCGCUUGCGACCAGACUCGCUCGCGGGGUUCAGCCGGCAUUCGUGCCGGUGUACUUCCCCGCGGGCGGGCCAGCGUCGGUUUGGGCGGUCGGUCAAAGGCCCUCGGAAGGUAACGCCCCCAGGGGCGUCUUAUAGCCGAGGGUGCAAUGCGACCUGCCUAGACCGAGGAACGCGCUUCGGCUCGGACGCUGGCAUAAUGGUCGUAAACGACCCGUCUUGAAACACGGACCAAGGAGUCUAACAUCUACGCGAGUGUUCGGGUGUCAAACCCGUGCGCGAAGUGAAAGCGAACGGAGGUGGGAACCCUUACGGGUGCACCAUCGACCGAUCCUGAAGUCUUCGGAUGGAUUUGAGUAAGAGCGUAGCUGUUGGGACCCGAAAGAUGGUGAACUAUGCCUGAAUAGGGCGAAGCCAGAGGAAACUACUGGUGGAGGCUCGUAGCGGUUCUGACGUGCAAAUCGAUCGUCGAAUUUGGGGUAUAGGGGCGAAAGACUAAUCGAACCAUCUGGUAGCUGGUUCCUGCCGA
rnacentral:rRNA from 1 species